CCGGGAUUGCCUUAGUACGGCGAGUGAAGCGGCAAAAGCUCAAAUUUGAAAUCUCGGUACCUUCGGUGCCCGAGUUGUAAUUUGGAGAGGGCAACUUUGGGGCCGUUCCUUGUCUAUGUUCCUUGGAACAGGACGUCAUAGAGGGUGAGAAUCCCGUGUGGCGAGGAGUGCGGUUCUUUGUAAAGUGCCUUCGAAGAGUCGAGUUGUUUGGGAAUGCAGCUCUAAGUGGGUGGUAAAUUCCAUCUAAAGCUAAAUAUUGGCGAGAGACCGAUAGCGAACAAGUACAGUGAUGGAAAGAUGAAAAGAACUUUGAAAAGAGAGUGAAAAAGUACGUGAAAUUGUUG
rnacentral:rRNA from 1 species